GCGGCGGACGGGUGAGUAACACGUGGGUAACCUGCCUGUAAGACUGGGAUAACUCCGGGAAACCGGAGCUAAUACCGGAUAGUUCCUUGAACCGCAUGGUUCAAGGAUGAAAGACGGUUUCGGCUGUCACUUACAGAUGGACCCGCGGCGCAUUAGCUAGUUGGUGAGGUAACGGCUCACCAAGGCGACGAUGCGUAGCCGACCUGAGAGGGUGAUCGGCCACACUGGGACUGAGACACGGCCCAGACUCCUACGGGAGGCAGCAGUAGGGAAUCUUCCGCAAUGGACGAAAGUCUGACGGAGCAACGCCGCGUGAGUGAUGAAGGUUUUCGGAUCGUAAAGCUCUGUUGUUAGGGAAGAACAAGUGCAAGAGUAACUGCUUGCACCUUGACGGUACCUAACCAGAAAGCCACGGCUAACUACGUGCCAGCAGCCGCGGUAAUACGUAGGUGGCAAGCGUUGUCCGGAAUUAUUGGGCGUAAAGGGCUCGCAGGCGGUUUCUUAAGUCUGAUGUGAAAGCCCCCGGCUCAACCGGGGAGGGUCAUGGGA
rnacentral:rRNA from 1 species